AGCCUUCUGUAUUGGUGCUGGGGUUUCAUCACACACCAGACCACAAGGGCUGAUGUGACCCCCAAGAUAAGUGAAGCG
rnacentral:pre_miRNA from 1 species